GAAAUGCGAUAAGUAAUGUGAAUUGCAGAAUUCAGUGAAUCAUCGAAUCUUUGAACGCACAUUGCGCCCGCCAGUAUUCUGGCGGGCAUGCCUGUUCGAGCGUCAUUACAACCCUCAGGCCCCCGGGCCUGGCGUUGGGGAUCGGCGGAAGCCCCCUGCGGGCACAACGCCGUCCCCCAAAUACAGUGGCGGUCCCGCCGCAGCUUCCAUUGCGUAGUAGCUAACACCUCGCAACUGGAGAGCGGCGCGGCCACGCCGUAAAACACCCAACUUCUGAAUGUUGACCUCGAAUCAGGUAGGAAUACCCGCUGAACUUGAGC
rnacentral:misc_RNA from 1 species